CAUAACAUGAUAUAUAAUUCAACUAUAAAAACGUGUUUGACACAACCCUAGCUUUGAUUCUCAAAACCUUUGUUUGUUUUUCCUCUCUUCAGCGACAAAUGACGAACGACAAGGCGAUGAAUGCAGUUCGUGAACAGCUAUUGAGCGUUCUUUGUACAACAAAGGGUCCGGCGAGAAUAGCGGUGGUCGCGACCUCCUAUUCCGGUGGUGCAAGCCAAUCGACUCAACCGAGGACGACAACGAUGUCAUGACCUCUUCACCGUCGUCGGUUGAGAUCGAAACUGAUCGUUUAGACUUGAUUUUGACAGCAAUUGAAGAGAACAAUCAGGCCAUGAAGAAAUUACGCAGUGUUUUUAUGUACAUAAUAGGGUUUUUGUUGUUGUAAUGCUUGUUUGUAUUUUCCAGUUGAAGUGAUUUGGUGAUGAACAACUUUGAUUUUUGUUGUAAUGUUUUUUUGUAUUUUUCAGUUGAAGUGAUUUGUAUUGGAUGCGUUUGCUUGCAAUUGGAUUGACAUCUGGAUCCUAAA